UUAUUUCAAAAAGAUAUUUUAUUAUACACAAUAAAUAAAAUCCAUGUGAUUGACGGCAGAUAAAACAUACAUACACAUCAAGUAAAAGGGUCUGAGAAUCCCAGCUGGAAAUCAAACCAUAACAGUAAAAGUGGUCCAAUUUCAGACAAGCACUAUUUUCCAAAUACAUUUUUGCUUUGGAGAGUCCGUGUGAUUUAAGAUAAUCAAUACUACCAAAAUAAUUGGCUACAUCGUUAAAAUAUACCAGAUGGGAGUGACCCGUUAGCAUUAGGAAAUAACGAGAACACACUAAGAUUAACAAAAAUAAAAGGACUUUACACCAGUUUAAAUGGGUAUAUAAAAGGAGUUAGUGACUCAAAAGUAAUUUUUGAAAUAAAGAAAGACUCACAUUUAAUACACUUUAAAUCUUCAAAUAUUUAAAAUGCAGCAAGGUGAACCCAGGCGCAUGCUGGAGCAGAUGGACGAUAAUAUGGCAGCAAGUUCGAAAUUUAGGCUUCACACAAUAUCCUUUCUGUAUUUUUUAGGUCACCAUGAACGGACACUAAGACAAUGUGAUCGUUAUUUAAAUGAUAUUGAAUGUUGACAGCUCGGAGUGAUCAAGGGAAACGAUACAAAUCUGCUCCCACUGGCACCACGAAUAUACUUUUUUUUUUUUUACAACCGACAGGUUAACUGACUUUCAUGGCAGACUGUUAUUAUUUAUGAAACUUUAUUUACAUCCACAUUGACCGUCUUUUCUUGCCUUGUCGAGGCUGCCAAAAUUAUAUAUUUUUCCCCAGAGAGGACGUUUUACAUAACGAUGAGGCCUUAAACGAUGAUAAUAUAAACAUGAAGUCAAUAUACACGUUUUUUUUUCUAUACAUAAGUCGUAAUGGAAUACUUUGAUAUAUUCUGUUUGAUAAAACAUGCGUCAACCUCUUUUUACAGACUCAAUGUACAUUUUGCAAGACGCAUUGAGGUGGGUGGAGAAUGAACGAGAAAGGUAGGAGUAAUGGUGAUAUUAAGAGCAGAACAAAUCAUGGUAGCCAAUUAACUAAGAGGAAGGAAGCAGGGACGCUCAUUAACAUGUAGGGUUAGCGGAAUUGAUGGGAAAAGCAUAACAGAAAGACAAUAAAAAGGGAAAAGGGAUGGUGACCAAUGGUUUGAGAGUAGACCGUUGGACAGAUUGCAAGUAGACAAGACGGUAGGAAUCCUUCCGUGAACAGGAUAGAAUUUCAACAAGAGGAGUUUUCCUGAAGAAGCUUCGGCACAUACUUUAGCAUACAUCGGUAGGAUGAAAAAAGAUAAAAGAUAGAUUGGAAAGUUAAUAGAUUAAGAUUCAUAGCGAUAGAGCUUAAGUAACGAUUUUGUUUGGUACGUAGGUAGGCGAAUGGCUAAACAGGAAGGAGAGUUUAGGAAUGGAGAUAGAUAUGGAUACAAACAACCUUGAAGAAGACUGGUGUUUGUUUGCAGAAGAGACAGUUGGAAAAGAUUGGCAUAUGCAUAUUGGUAGGACUCAGAGAACAUACCAGUAAGAUUAGAGUGACAGUAAGAGAAAUAAGGUAGAUAGAAUCCAUUUGCGAGAAGAGGAAGGUUAGCCCUUGGUUGAUAACAGCAGUUGAGGAAGGGACAAAUCCACAGUUUUUCAUUGAUACACUUCCUAAUUAAUGGGUUGGGCUUUAUUAAAUAGCUUGGUGGAUGGGCUGAGUCAAGGUUGAUAGAAACCACUGUCAAGUACUGAUCCUUGAUUUUGAAUUUUUGAAUUAAAAUCCACCACUACAAGGACUUACCUAGUACAAAACGGACCAAAGAGGAUUCCUCGUCCCCUUCAGCUCCUUCUAUGCCGACCAGUGCCUAACCCGGGAUGACUACAUAAUGAAGUGCGGUUUAAAAAAAUCAAUAACAUAACAGAUAACAAAUGCACUCCUCAUAAUGUCCAUGUGUUGUGUUUCCAUGCAUAUAAUAUCACAUCACUUUGAGAAAAUCUACAUAGCUAAUUCGACCACUUUUUAUAAUGAACAUGCUCAUGUAACUAUGGCUAUAAUGAGAGCAAUGCAGGCCCAUGGUAAUGAAGCAAUGUGUAUAAACGGUACAGCAAGAAGCAACAUCCAAACGCUUGCCUUUCGUUGUACCUCCAUUUCACUCACGCCCACUCUAAAACGACAAUUAGGACUUUUUGAGGCCAGGGGUUAGGGUUCCAGACAAGGGCAUGGUAUAAUUAAGUCUUUUCAAUGCUCAGGAGAUGGCGAAUGGUUAAAAAGGUAAAAGAAAAAAGUCACAAGAAUAGUAACCUCAAAUCGUAAUUUUUUUCUCAGGCCGUUCUUCUUUUUCUUCUUCCACGGGUCUUUUUCCAACCUAAAUAAAAGUAUGUACAUUUAAAACCACACCUGUGUCCAAACACCCAUACCAACAGUUGGCAUUCUGUUUGUGACGAUCAAUAAUCAAUUGUCAACUACAGCCAUAAAACCCAG
ensembl:lncRNA